rnacentral:piRNA from 1 species
GUCGUGCUGAUCGGAUGAAGAGUUCGUGGU